rnacentral:rRNA from 1 species
UGUAAACGAUGUCGAUUUGGAGGUGUUCCCUGAGGAGUGGCUUCCGGGGCUAACGCGUUAAAUCGACCGCCUGGGGAGUACGGCCGCAAGGUUAAAACUCAAAUGAAUUGACGGGGGCCCGCACAAGCGGUGGAGCAUGUGGUUUAAUUCGAUGCAACGCGAAGAACCUUACCUACUCUUGACAUCCAGAGAAUUUAGCAGAGAUGCUUUAGUGCCUUCGGGAACUCUGAGACAGGUGCUGCAUGGCUGUCGUCAGCUCGUGUUGUGAAAUGUUGGGUUAAGUCCCGCAACGAGCGCAACCCUUAUCCUUUGUUGCCAGCACAUUAUGGUGGGAACUCAAAGGAGACUGCCGGUGAUAAACCGGAGGAAGGUGGGGAUGACGUCAAGUCAUCAUGGCCCUUACGAGUAGGGCUACACACGUGCUACAAUGGCGUAUACAAAGAGAAGCGACCUCGCGAGAGCAAGCGGAACUCAUAAAGUACGUCGUAGUCCGGAUUGGAGUCUGCAACUCGACUCCAUGAAGUCGGAAUCGCUAGUAAUCGUAGAUCAGAAUGCUACGGUGAAUACGUUCCCGGGCCUUGUACACACCGCCCGUCACACCAUGGGAGUGGGUUGCAAAAGAAGUAGGUAGCUUAACCUUCGGGAGGGCGCUUACCACUUUGUGAUUCAUGACUGGGGUGAAGUCGUAACAAGGUAACCA